rnacentral:rRNA from 1 species
UGCAGUCGAGCGGACCGACGGGAGCUUGCUCCCUUAGGUCAGCGGCGGACGGGUGAGUAACACGUGGGUAACCUGCCUGUAAGACUGGGAUAACUCCGGGAAACCGGGGCUAAUACCGGAUGCUUGAUUGAACCGCAUGGUUCAAUCAUAAAAGGUGGCUUUUAGCUACCACUUGCAGAUGGACCCGCGGCGCAAUAGCUAGUUGGUGAGGUAACGGCUCACCAAGGCGACGAUGCGUAGCCCACCUGAGAGGGUGAUCGGCCACACUGGGACUGAGACACGGCCCAGACUCCUACGGGAGGCAGCAGUAGGGAAUCUUCCGCAAUGGACGAAAGUCUGACGGAGCAACGCCCCGUGAGUGAUGAAGGUUUUCGGAUCGUAAAACUCUUUUGUUAGGGAAGAACAAGUACCGUUCGAAUAGGGCGGCACCUUGACGGUACCUAACCAGAAAGCCACGGCUAACUACGUGCCA